rnacentral:rRNA from 1 species
GACGAACGCUGGCGGCGUGCUUAACACAUGCAAGUCGAGCGGUAAGGCCUUUCGGGGUACACGAGCGGCGAACGGGUGAGUAACACGUGGGUGAUCUGCCCUGCACUUCGGGAUAAGCCUGGGAAACUGGGUCUAAUACCGGAUAUGACCUCCUAUCGCAUGGUGGGUGGUGGAAAGAUUUAUCGGUGCAGGAUGGGCCCGCGGCCUAUCAGCUUGUUGGUGGGGUAAUGGCCUACCAAGGCGACGACGGGUAGCCGACCUGAGAGGGUGACCGGCCACACUGGGACUGAGACACGGCCCAGACUCCUACGGGAGGCAGCAGUGGGGAAUAUUGCACAAUGGGCGAAAGCCUGAUGCAGCGACGCCGCGUGAGGGAUGACGGCCUUCGGGUUGUAAACCUCUUUCAGCAGGGACGAAGCGCAAGUGACGGUACCUGCAGAAGAAGCCCCGGCUAACUACGUG